rnacentral:rRNA from 1 species
UACGUAGGGUGCAAGCGUUGUCCGGAAUUAUUGGGCGUAAAGAGCUCGUAGGCGGCCUGUCGCGUCGGCUGUGAAAACCCGAGGCUCAACCUCGGGCCUGCAGUCGAUACGGGGCAGGCUAGAGUUCGGUAGGGGGAGACUGGAAUUCCUGGUGUAGCGGUGAAAUGCGCAGAUAUCAGGAGGAACACCGGUGGCGAAGGCGGUUCUCUGGGCAUUACCUGACGCUGAGGAGCGAAAGUGUGGGGAGCGAACAGG